rnacentral:lncRNA from 1 species
CCGAUAUUCUACCUUUACCCGGUGGAAUUCAUACCCAAACAACACCAGAUCAACAACAAAAUCAAAAUAUUACUGUUUUGGAAGCGAUUGGAUUGAAUUCUAAUAAGAACAAUGAUGGCACGUUUCCCAAUGUCACCAAAACUUCAUCUUCUAUAGUGAUUCAGGAUCUGGGACCAUCACCAAUGAUUCCAGAAGGGCCGAAAACCCUAGGGGUGGUGGAGAUUGCAUCUGAAUCGCCCGAAAUUGGCAGAUCGAAUCCCGAGGGAUCGAUUUCUGAUUUUUCAAUUAAACCCUCUAUGGAGCUCAGACACAUGCACGCGCCAUAUCAUCUGAUUACCCAUGUGAAGGAGAACCUUCGUCUAAAAAAUGGUCCAAUUCCGACGUUGGACGCGACAUCACCGGCGAUCGAAAGUUACGGCCAGCCGCUCGGAAAAUCGCAGAUUCCGGCCAAUCCUGAACUCGUUUCGGAAAACGGAAUAUACCGUGAUAAUCAGCAUGAAAUUUCGCAUCUACCUGUGAAAAAUCAUAAUUUUCUAACACUAUUAGAAAAUCGCCGCCGGUCAAAGGCCGGUCAACGGACGGCGCGUGGUGGUCACGCGCCGGUGACACUUCAGCAGAAUGUGGGGAAUUUUGUUACGGACCCAAUUCCAUCAUCGGAUUUACCACGGGAAGUCCCUACAGUAAUUAAUCAAGCUAGGAAGUCAUAUGCGGCUGCACUUUCCGGUAAAUCUGUAGUCUCUCAAGCUGAGCGCAGCCAACGGAAGUCUUUUGCACAGGUUUUGCAAGCCCCACCGGACUCCAAUGAGCACAGGUUCCCCUCUAAGGAACCUUUCAUGCAUAUGGGAGAGCCGGCAAUUGCCUUUACCGAGGAAGAAGAGGACUUUCUUUCUGAACCGUAUAAAUUUACUCUUGUUGGCAAAUUCUCACGUCGCAAGCCCUCCAUGAUUAAGGUACGUGACAGCUUUCAAAAAUUUGGUUUUUGUGGUGAUUAUAUGAUCGGACUUAUUGAUGCGACUCAUAUUCUAAUACACUUGGCACA